rnacentral:lncRNA from 1 species
ACGGUCAAAUCCGGUCGAAUCUCCAACAAAAAUACAAAAUACACUAUAUCUAAAAAUGAAGAAUACAAUCAAACGCAGCCGGAUCUUCGAUGAAAUAUAAAAUACUACUAUAUUUACACUAAACAAAAUGAAGAAUACAUUCAAAUCCUUUUUAAAAAUUAUUGUAUUUAACUAAAAAUAAAAGUAUAUAGUCAAAUCUCCGAAGAGAAUACAAAAUGCACUAUAUUUAAAAAUGGUGAAUACAAUAAAAUGCCAUCGAAUCUCCGACGAAAAUUCAAACUACAUUUUAAAUAUCUCACGAAAAUACAAAAUGCACUAUAUUUAUACAAUGAUUUUCCGACGUGAAAUGCAUUGGAGAAGAAAGAGGUGGCUUCUUUUUCUGGCGUGAAAAAUAGUGAUGGAAGAAUAAGUCUUAGGUCAGACGCAUAGACUCCGAUAUGAGCUACAAACAAGGAGAAGAAGCAAUGGGUUCCGGCAUCUCCGUUAGAUCCAGAUUUGGUGAUGCCUCCAAUCUUCCCCUCCAUUGUUUUCGUUGCUGGUAAUGGAUUGAUCUCAACUUCAUGAUUUCAGAUCUGGAUCACACGGUGGGUGACGUCGGUGUUUAAGGGUGAUUCACAGUGAGGGGGGUAAACGGCGGAGGGUGGUGAUGUGUGGGGAAGAGAGAAAGAUAUGGUUGUUUAGUUGGGCUCCGUAGAGCUCCGCUCGAGAAGACGGUCGACGGUGACUUCUCUGCGGCAGAGGGAGAAGAGAGAGGGAAAAGGAGAGGGAGAGUUGAGGAAGAAGAGAGAGAGAGAGAGAGGUUUGAGAGAAAAGAUUAUACAGUAGAAUAAUUCUAUAUUAGCUAUGAUGGAUAAAUUGAAAAUUU